AACGAACGCUGGCGGCAGGCCUAACACAUGCAAGUCGAACGCCCUAGCAAUAGGGAGUGGCGCACGGGUGCGUAACGCGUGGGAAUAUGCCCUUCACUGCGGAAUAACGUUUGGAAACGAACGCUAAUACCGCAUAAUGACUCCGGUCCAAAGAUUUAUCGGUGAAGGAUUAGCCCGCGUUAGAUUAGCUAGUUGGUGAGGUAAUGGCUCACCAAGGCGACGAUCUAUAGCUGGUCUGAGAGGAUGAUCAGCCACACUGGGACUGAGACACGGCCCAGACUCCUACGGGAGGCAGCAGUGAGGAAUAUUGGACAAUGGGCGCAAGCCUGAUCCAGCCAUGCCGCGUGAGUGAAGAAGG
rnacentral:rRNA from 1 species